rnacentral:rRNA from 1 species
AUUGAACGCUGGCGGAAUGCUUUACACAUGCAAGUCGAACGGCAGCACGGACUUCGGUCUGGUGGCGAGUGGCGAACGGGUGAGUAAUAUAUCGGAACGUGCCCAGUCGUGGGGGAUAACGUAGCGAAAGCUACGCUAAUACCGCAUACGAUCUACGGAUGAAAGCGGGGGAUCGCAAGACCUCGCGCGAUUGGAGCGGCCGAUAUCAGAUUAGGUAGUUGGUGAGGUAAAGGCUCACCAAGCCGACGAUCUGUAGCUGGUCUGAGAGGACGACCAGCCACACUGGGACUGAGACACGGCCCAGACUCCUACGGGAGGCAGCAGUGGUGAAUUUUGGACAAUGGACGCAAGUCUGAUCCAGCCAUUCCGCGUGCAGGACGAAGGCCUUCGGGUUGUAAACUACUUUUGUACAGAACGAAAAGGUCUCUAUUAAUACUAGGGGCUCAUGACGGUACUGUAAGAAUAAGCACCGGCUAACUACGUGCCAGCCGCCGCGGUAA